CAGCCGCCGCGGUAAUACGGAGGGGGCUAGCGUUGUUCGGAAUUACUGGGCGUAAAGCGCACGUAGGCGGCUUGGUAAGUUAGAGGUGAAAGCCCGGAGCUCAACUCCGGAAUUGCCUUUAAGACUGCCGAGCUAGUAGGUGAGAGAGGUAAGUGGAAUUCCGAGUGUAGAGGUGAAAUUCGUAGAUAUUCGGAAGAACACCAGUGGCGAAGGCGGCUUACUGGCUCAUUCUAGACGCUGAGGUGCGAAAGCGUGGGGAGCAAACAGGAUUAGAUACCCCUGUAGUCCCUGUCUCUUAUAC
rnacentral:rRNA from 1 species